GAUUAGUUAGAAAGAAAGAAAGAUGGAUUAAUUAGGUAGAAAGAAAGAAAGAAAGAAAGAAAGAAAGAAAGAAAGAAAGAAAGAAAGAAAGAGAAAGAAAGAAAGAAAGAAAGAAAGAAAGAAAGAAAGAAAGAAAGAAAGAAAGAAAGAAAGAAAGAGAAAGAAAGAAGGAUUAGUUAGAAAGAAAGAAAGAAAGAUGGAUUAGUUAGAAAGAAAGAUAGAUAGAUAGAUAGAUAGAUAGAUAGAUAGAUAGAUAGAUAGAUAGAUAGAUAGAUAGAUAGAUAGAUAGAUAGAUAGAUAGAUAGAAAGAUAGAUAGAUUAGUUAGAUAGAAAGAAAGAUAGAUAGA